UGCUGUUAGGAUCUUUCUUGGUCUCAUCUCUGUUAUUACUGAAACCAUUCUGGUUUAUGCUCUGUCAAGAAAGUAUGGAAAAUGUCUUGCCUCGUAUACUUGCUAUGCUAUGCUUAACCAGCGGUUGUUUCUUUGCUAGUACAAGUUUCUUGCCAAGUUCGUUCUCUAUGUAUGCUGUGACUGGUAUAAAGAAGGCCAUGCCGCACACUAUAUAUAUAUAUAUAU